rnacentral:lncRNA from 1 species
GGACUGGUGGGCGGCGAAGGGGGAAAGCCCCGGAUGUUCGUUGGGGAUUCAACAUGGCGGCGGCAGUGGCCGUAGCGGCGGCGGCGCCAGAGAGCUGAGGGCAGCGGGAGGGCGCCGAGUUCCGGGCCGAGCGGCCAGGCCGCGAACGACUGCGGUGCCGAGCCGGGUUACCUGGCACAGGUGUACAUCACCGACUCAACGGACAUGAGUCUGAGCCAACUCCCGGAGAUGGUGAAGGACAGGGAAGCCUGGCGCGCUGCAGUCCAUGGGGUUGCAAAGAGUCGGACGCCACUGAGCGACUAAACAACAAAAGGCCCCACGUGUCCCGUCCACCCUCUUCCUGCUGGCCUCUCGCAUCCUCCGCCUCCGAGCCUCCCUGUUCCUGCCCUGCUCACAGCCUUCCUGCGGCUCCAUCUCACGCAGGUAAGAGCCGAGUCCUCCCUGUGCCCCCCGCCCCGCCCCGGCCACUCGGCCUCCGCUCUGUUCUUUGGCCCUCAAGCACUCUGCGGCCCCAAGCCUUUGUGCUGGCUGUUCUCGCGGCCAGGGUCCUCCUCCCCCAGGCACCCACUCCUCUCCCCACCCUGCUCUAGUGUGACCUCCUCUUCGAGGCCCUCCCUGACCGCUUCACUGAAGAUCCCCACGUCCCCUCAGCCUCCACACCCAGCUGAUCCCUGCUCUUUUUCUUCUCAGCACUCACCAUCUGACUCACUAGCUGGCUGUCUGGUGUAUCUGCUGUGAACUGUCUCUCCUUUCCCCUCGAAUGUGAGCUUGGCAAGGGCAGGGACAUCCCUGGCUCUCCUGGCCUCUGCUGUGGGCCCUGCCCCGGGCUUGGCAGAGCUCAGCUCUCACCCGAC